rnacentral:rRNA from 1 species
AGCGGCGGACGGGUGAGUAAUGCUUGGGAAUAUGCCUUUAGGUGGGGGACAACAGUUGGAAACGACUGCUAAUACCGCAUAAUGUCUACGGACCAAAGGAGGGAUCUUCGGACCUUUCGCCUUUAGAUUAGCCCAAGUGAGAUUAGCUUGUUGGUGAGGUAAUGGCUUACCAAGGCGACGAUCUCUAGCUGGUUUGAGAGGAUGAUCAGCCACACUGGGACUGAGACACGGCCCAGACUCCUACGGGAGGCAGCAGUGGGGAAUAUUGCCCAAUGGGGGGAACCCUGAUGCAGCCAUGCCGCGUGUGUGAAGAAGGCCUUAGGGUUGUAAAGCACUUUCAGUUGUGAGGAAAGGUGUAAGGUUAAUACCUUUGCACUGUGACGUUAGCAACAGAAGAACCACCGCCUACCUUCGUGCCACCCCCCCCCGGUAAUACCCAGGGGUGCCAAGCGUUAAUCCGGAAUUACUGGCCGUACAGCCUACGUAGGCGGUUUGCUAAGCAAGAUGUGAAAGCCCCAGGGCUCAACCCUUGGAACUGCAUUUUGAACUGGCAAACUAGAGUACUGUAGAGGGUGGUGGAAUUUCCAGUGUAGCGGUGAAAUGCGUAGAGAUUGGAAGGAACAUCAGUGGCGA